ACUCAAAUGAAUUGACGGGGACCCGCACAAGCGGUGGAUUAUGUGGAUUAAUUCGAUGCAACGCGAAAAACCUUACCUACCCUUGACUUGUACGGAAUCCUCCAGAGAUGGAGGAGUGCCCGAAAGGGAACCGUAACACAGGUGCUGCAUGGCUGUCGUCAGCUCGUGUCGUGAGAUGUUGGGUUAAGUCCCGCAACGAGCGCAACCCUUGUCAUUAGUUGCCACAUUUAGUUGGGCACUCUAAUGAGACUGCCGGUGACAAACCGGAGGAAGGUGGGGAUGACGUCAAGUCCUCAUGGCCCUUAUGGGUAGGGCCUCACACGUAAUACAAUGGCCGGUACAGAGGGCUGCCAACCCGCGAGGGGGAGCUAAUCUCAGAAAGCCGGUCGUAGUCCGGAUUGUUCUCUGCAACUCGAGAACAUGAAGUUGGAAUCGCUAGUAAUCGCGGAUCAGCAUGUCGCGGUGAAUACGUUCCCGGGUCUUGUACACACCGCCCGU
rnacentral:rRNA from 1 species